rnacentral:rRNA from 1 species
CACCGCCCGUCACACCAUAGGAGUCGAUUGCUCCAGAAGUGGCUGCGCCAACCCGCAAGGGAGGCAGGUCCCCAAGGAGUGAUCGGUAACUGGGGUG